rnacentral:rRNA from 1 species
AUGAACGCUGGCGGCGUGCUUAACACAUGCAAGUCGAACGAAGCGAUUUGACGAAGUUUUCGGAUGGAAGUCAAAUUUGACUGAGUGGCGGACGGGUGAGUAACGCGUGGGUAACCUGCCUCAUACAGGGGGAUAACAGUUAGAAAUGACUGCUAAUACCGCAUAAGCGCACGGAAGCGCAUGCUUCUGUGUGAAAAACUCCGGUGGUAUGAGAUGGACCUGCGUCUGAUUAGCUAGUUGGUGAGGUAACGGCCCACCAAGGCGACGAUCAGUAGCCGACCUGAGAGGGUGACCGGCCACAUUGGGACUGAGACGACGGCCCAAACUCCUACGGGAGGCAGCAGUUGGGAAUAUUGCACAUGGGGAAACCCUGAUGCAGCGACGCCGCGUGAGUGAAGAAGUAUUUCGGUAUGUAAAGCUCUAUCAGCAGGGAAGAGAUGACGGUACCUGACUAAGAGCCCCGGCUAACUACGUGCCAGCAGCCGCGGUAA